UACGUAGGGUGCAAGCGUUGUCCGGAAUUAUUGGGCGUAAAGAGCUCGUAGGCGGUCUGUUGCGUCGGCUGUGAAAACCCGGGGCUCAACUCCGGGCCUGCAGCCGAUACGGGCAGACUAGAGUUCGGCAGGGGAGACUGGAAUUCCUGGUGUAGCGGUGAAAUGCGCAGAUAUCAGGAGGAACACCGAUGGCGAAGGCAGAUCUCUGGGCCGUAACUGACGCUGAGGAGCGAAAGCAUGGGUAGCGAACAGG
rnacentral:rRNA from 1 species